UCACUAUCCUGGUGCACUGAGGCACAGA
rnacentral:piRNA from 2 species